rnacentral:lncRNA from 1 species
AUGAAAAAUUUAAUAGUGCUUUGGGUCUCAAAGUGCUUCUUCCUCCAACCUAGAGGAUUCAUAAUUCCCUCUGAAAAGACAGUAAAUUUAAUCUGCUUAGAGGAAUGCAUCUCUGAACACUCAAUCUUGCCAGGACUGAUUCCUGUGAUAUAAUGGAUCCAGUAUGACUAAGGAUUGCUCCAACCAGCACACUGAGCUCUGCAUUGCUCCAUGACCCCUAUACUCAAAAUUUCAAGAAGAAUGGGUUCUUGUGCUCAUAACAAAUAUAUGCUUUUGAAAAACUUGGCAA